CCGAUGCUAUUGCUCCAUCACCGCCGACAAUCCACGCCAUUUUCUCUUCUAUUUUUCGGCGUGAUGCCCUAGUUGUCGUGUGGUGUUGCGUUAUCGCAAAUACUCUCAUGUCCCAUGCUGGCUCGACUCUUCCGCCGCCAACGGUGCCCAUGGUCGCCAUCCUUGCUUCCUCUUAUUUCAUCUCCAAUUGGUGAGCGGUUGUUAUUGCCACCAUUGUCGCCGCCUCCCAUUUUCAGCUGCCUAUAGGGACUCUGCUCCCCUGUUGCCGUUGUUGUGGAUUGAAUGUUUCUCCUGUUAUUGUUGGUCUUGUUGUUAAUCCCUGCUCUUCCAUUUCUCCAUGCAUGGUGAGGGGCAGUGUCAAAGUGUUUUGCAGGUAGGGAUGCUCAAUGAAGAUUAAUGGCAAGAGAUGCUUAGUCGAUUAAUGUGAGGUUUCUUUGGUUUCAAGUGGAAGUUGUAAGUAGAUGUAUUCUAAAUUUUCUAAGGUGUAAUUUGUAAGAUUUAUUAAGGUCUACCAUUAACUUAGUUGUAAAUUUAUUUCUUUAAAGGAUUUCUUUGGAUUA